AGCAGCCGCGGUAAUUCCAGCUCCAAUAGCGUAUAUUAAAGUUGCUGCAGUUAAAAAGCUCGUAGUUGAAUUUCGGGACCAUCAUGUCGGUCGUGCCUCGGUACGUACUGGCAUUGUUGGUUUCUCCCUUCUGACGAACCAUGAUGUCAUUAAUUUGGUGUCUUGGGGAAUCAGGACUGUUACUUUGAAAAAAUUAGAGUGUUUAAAGCAGGCUCACGCUUGAAUACAUUAGCAUGGAAUAAUGAAAUAGGACGUUUGAUUCUAUUUUGUUGGUUUCUAGGAUCGACGUAAUGAUUAAUAGGGAUAGUUGGGGGCAUUAGUAUUCAAUUGUCAGAGGUGAAAUUCUUGGAUUUAUUGAAGACUAACUACUGCGAAAGCAUUUGCCAAGGAUGUUUUCAUUAAUCAAGAACGAAAGUUAGGGGAUCGAAGACGAUCAGAUACCGUCGUAGUCUUAACCAUAAACUAUGCCGACUAGGGAUCNGNUGAUGUUAAUUUUUUAAUGACUCA
rnacentral:rRNA from 1 species